rnacentral:tRNA from 1 species
AGUAAGGUGGCUGAAAGCAAAGCGGCGGAUUGUAAAUCCGUCCAUAAAGGUUAAAUUCCUUUCCUUCCUA